GUCUGGCUCGUAUCCUUCAGCUUUUCACGCAGCUGCUUAAGAAACCGACUUCAAAUCAGUAUAAAUCUCUUCUCUCUCACAUCUGAUGUUUUUCCCCUCAUUCGGCAAUACAGCAGCCUCCUCUUCGACGUGGUCGAAGUUCUCGCACCGGAAGUCCUCUCCGUUUCCCCUUCUUUUCCGAUGUGGAGCCCUAAUUCUUAGAAGAAGGAAAUUACUACUGUCGCGACUGGAAGGCCAACGAACGGCUGAGCUUCGCCCGUCUCUGCCUUGAAUCCAUACUCGAGAAGGAGAGAAAGGAAAACGAGCACUAAUUCUUUUCUACUCCCGCCGUCAUGGUUCGGCUGCCACCUCCGCCGUCUGUGGAAGACCGGCGAUUCAGCGGCGCCGCUCCAUUCACGACGCCGCUACUGCUGCUACACGAUCCCCUCCGAGGCAGCAAGCGCUGCCGUCAUCAUCGACGUCUUGGCUCGACUGAACAGGGUCGCGUCCCUCGUCGUCGAAAAGUUAAGUAUUCUACUUGUUAUUGAACAAAGUGUUUGAUGUUGCUUGUGAUUUCUGAGUUCGUGCCAAAAUAAUCGAGGCAUAGGUGACUUCUCUCUGAGAUUCCUAAAGUGAGAUAUUAAACAAAAUGUUAUAUGUACUUGAGGUAAAUAUUCACUAGAAUCUAGUGAUAGGAUGAUAGGAAUCGAAGUUCUAUCCCAAAGCCCCAAUUUUCAGCCUCUUUCAUGAACCCUAGAAUCUAUUCCCUUUAUAUUAGCAUUAAUUGACUAUGUAUAAAUGUUUAUAUGUAUGCAAAGAUAUUAUUGAGAGUUAUUUGGGUAUUUACUCAAAAGAAAUCAUGAUUUCCCAAUAAGUUUAGUUUAGAUGGAUUGGUGGAUUUGGGAAUUUUUGUUAUAGGAUAGCUAUUUGUUUGAUGCUUGUGUAAUUGUACUCUUUGAGUUGUAAAAUGAGAUUAUAUGAUAAUAAUUGGAGGAUAUUAAGCAUGCUACUAUAUGUUGAUGUGUUGAACAUGAAUUAAGUUAAGCUAAAGCAUGCUAAUGUAUAUUAAGAUGAUGUAUUUGAGAUCCUAUAGCUUUUAUUUGAGAAAAAUAUGAGUGAUAUGUCAUUGAGCAUUGCUGUCAGUUUUCGGGUCGGACGGAACAGUAUGUUUCGGGGUACUUUUGAUGAUGUUUUCGGAGUCCAAAUAACUUGAAAUUUUUACUGUAAUAACUUCAUCAUGUGUAGUCGUUCUCUGCAAAAUUUCAGCUGAAUCCGAGACCUCUAGGUAGGUCAAACAAUUUUCUGAAAUGUACUGCGCGAAGCAGCGUAGUUCUGUGGCAGAUUCUGCCUUUUGUGAGAUAAUUUCUUAUACAUUUGAGAUAUUGUAUUUUUAUAAAUUCCCGAUAAAUAUAGACUUUAGUAGAUUUCUAAAAGUGUAAAGCUUAUAUUUUUCUUUGAAGAGAUUGAUUUUAUAUGAUUUUUCAAAGUUGAGAUUCAUUUAUGAAGACAUGUUUGAGAUUUCUUACUUGGGAUAGUUAUAAAUAGAACCAUGCUAAGUGAUUGAUGUUUAAUUAUUAAUUGUAAGCUAAUCUAUAUAGAAUGGAUUAGUUUACUCUUAAGCUUUUCUCAAUUUGAGAUAUCCCAAGAGAUGUGAUGUUACUAUUUGCUUUUAGUUAAGUCCAUAUAAGUAGAAUACUCAGAUUAGAGGAUGCAACUUUAAAGGGAUACAAGUUUCAUUCAAGAUUUACUUUCUACUUACUUAUUAUCCAAUCUUACCUGGGAACCUCAUUAUAAUGAAGGUUCGAGUGGCAGUGUAGAAUGAACAAGCAAAGACUUCUAUUUCAUUAAGCGUAUCAGGUUAAGCUGUGAUGCAGAUGGUAGCAAGCAGAGCUAAGCCCUCGGUGUAUAUAUAUAUAAUUUAGGCUCGGGAUUUCAUGUCCUCAUACAUGUAAUCCACUUGAGUUGUUUCCGCUGCAACACUUAAUGUACCUUACUUUAUUGAUGUGUUGUAGAGAUUUUAAACCAAUAGCUUCGAGAAUUAUAUUAUUUAGACAACUUGUCGUUGUGUUAUUGUAAGUUGUCUACUCGUGAGUUUUAAAAGUGUUGCCUACGAUUAUUCAAUAUUAUAGUGAUUUAUUGUUAAA